rnacentral:rRNA from 1 species
UACGUAGGGGGCAAGCGUUGUCCGGAUUUAUUGGGCGUAAAGAGCGUGUAGGCGGCUUGGUAGGUCUCGCGUCAAAACCUGAGGCUCAACCUCAGUUCGCGUGGGAAACCACCUAGCUAGAGUCCGGAAGAGGAGAACGGAAUUCCCAGUGUAGCGGUGAAAUGCGCAGAUAUUGGGAAGAACACCAGUGGCGAAGGCGGUUCUCUGGGAAUAUCCUGACGCUGAGGAGCGAAAGUGUGGGGAGCAAACAGG